AAUGAAUUGCCUGAUAAAAGGAUUACUUUGAUAGAGUAAAUCAUGAAAUUUAAUAAUUUUAUUCAUUA
rnacentral:tRNA from 2 species